ensembl:snRNA U6 U6 spliceosomal RNA
GUACUUGCUUCGGCAGCACAUAUACUAAAAUUGGAAUGAUACAGAGAAGAUUAGCACGGUCCCUGUGCAAGGAUGAUACGCAAAUUCGUGAAGGGUUCCAUAUUUUU